rnacentral:rRNA from 1 species
AAAGGCGCUUUCGGGUGUCGCUGAUGGAUGGACCCGCGGUGCAUUAGCUAGUUGGUGAGGUAACGGCUCACCAAGGCCACGAUGCAUAGCCGACCUGAGAGGGUGAUCGGCCACAUUGGGACUGAGACACGGCCCAAACUCCUACGGGAGGCAGCAGUAGGGAAUCUUCGGCAAUGGACGAAAGUCUGACCGAGCAACGCCGCGUGAGUGAAGAAGGUUUUCGGAUCGUAAAACUCUGUUGUUAGAGAAGAACAAGGAUGAGAGUAACUGUUCAUCCCUUGACGGUAUCUAACCAGAAAGCCACGGCUAACUACGUGCCAGCAGCCGCGGUAAUACGUAGGUGGCAAGCGUUGUCCGGAUUU